GGAGUUUGAUCUCUCUGUAGAUCUCUUGUUUGGUUCAGCAACUAGAUGUCACUUUGUCCGUUACCCUGCCACUGUAAUCGAUGGGGGCUCAGGGCUGUACCAUUCUGCUCAUCUGAUGAAGGUGCACAUGGAUCAGAUUCCGAGAUCGAUUAAUUGAAGGCAGACCAGCAGAAAGAGAAACAUUGUCGGGGGCAGAGAUACGAGCGACAGCUGAUGCAUUGGUUCAGAGCCAGGCGGCAUUGGCGGAGAAUCAGGCGGAGAAUGACUCGUUGAAGAGGGCGAGGAAUGAGAUGGAGUCACAAUCCGUGCCGGUGUAUCAGGCACACCUGUGAGCUCUGGAACUCCACCUCCGACAGGCAGAGUCAACAUACCUGGCGAGUUCAUCAAGUUGUCUGUUCAGCCUGACAUUUCCAUUCCUCUUCUGACAACAUAACCAGGCACAACUGCUCACCAGGUACAGCAAGGGCCGUCUGGACCAUCAUGCUGUUCUGCUAUAGCCUGAUAAGCCCCCCCUGCAUUUGUUUAUCUUCAAAAUGUUUUAUUAUCCAAAUGUCGUAGCAUGUACUGUGUUUCUUCAUCAGCAUCUUUCUGCUUUCGUUAAUAAAAUAAUGAUAAAUACAUUCUAAA